UGCGUAUACCAAAAUCUUCUUGUGUGCUUUGUAUUCCCUUGAUUGAUUUAUUUGGUUGCGAUGCUUAUAUGUGUAUUGUUUGCUACAUCUCUAUAUCGGUAGAGCUACUUCCUUUGCAUUUUUAGCAUAUAUUAAUUGUUGUAUAUUGGUCAAGCAAGAUAAAAUAUGGGAUCAUAUAUCAACAAAUUGGUUGGUCAUAAUCAUGGAAAGUGUGGUGUAUCCAGCCUGAGACGGUCGAUACCUGAAAGGUGUGGGAUGGCAGGCCCGGAUGGGAAGGCCCACACAAGUAGGGGACUCGGCGACGUGAUUCUCAGAGAUCGAUACUAUCACGAGAUCAAUUUUAGGAUCAAGUGGCGACGGCUGAAAAUCCAUAUGACGGCAUAUAGCGUAGAAGUGGAGCGAGAUAUUAAUAAAAGAAAAUAUCACUAGUGUUGUAAUAAAUAAGUUGUACUUGUAAUAUUUGAUAAUGAAUAAAGUGGAGACCUUGCUUGGCA